rnacentral:rRNA from 1 species
GAUAACCGCUGAAAGCAUCUAAGCGGGAAGCGAGCCCUGAGAUGAGUCUUCCCUGAUACUUUAAGUAUCCUAAAGGGUUGUUCGAGACUAGAACGUUGAUAGGCAGGGUGUGUAAGCGUUGUGAGGCGUUGAGCUAACCUGUACUAAUUGCCCGUGAGGCUUAACCAU